AGUGAACGCUGGCGGUAGGCCUAACACAUGCAAGUCGAACGGCAGCACAGUAAGAGCUUGCUCUUACGGGUGGCGAGUGGCGGACGGGUGAGGAAUACAUCGGAAUCUACUUUUUCGUGGGGGAUAACGUAGGGAAACUUACGCUACUACCGCAUACGACCUACGGGUGAAAGCAGGGGAUCUUCGGACCUUGCGCGAUUGAAUGAGCCGAUGUCGGAUUAGCUAGUUGGCGGGGUAAAGGCCCACCAAGGCGACGAUCCGUAGCUGGUCUGAGAGGAUGAUCAGCCACACUGGAACUGAGACACGGUCCAGACUCCUACGGGAGGCAGCAGUGGGGAAUAUUGGACAAUGGGCGCAAGCCUGAUCCAGCAAUACCGCGUGGGUGAAGAAGGCCUUCGGGUUGUAAAGCCCUUUUGUUGGGAAAGAAAAGCAGCAGGUUAAUACCCCGCUGUUCUGACGGUACCCAAAGAAUAAGCACCGGCUAACUUCGUG
rnacentral:rRNA from 1 species